rnacentral:rRNA from 1 species
AAGAAACCAACAGGGAUUGCCCUAGUAACGGCGAGUGAAGCGGCAACAGCUCAAAUUUGAAAUCUGGCGCAAGCCCGAGUUGUAAUUUGCAGAGGAUGCUUCUGGGUAGCGACCGGUCUAAGUUCCUUGGAACAGGACGUCAUAGAGGGUGAGAAUCCCGUAUGUGACCGGCCCGCACCCUCCACGUAGCUCCUUCGACGAGUCGAGUUGUUUGGGAAUGCAGCUCUAAAUGGGAGGUAAAUUUCUUCUAAAGCUAAAUACCGGCCAGAGACCGAUAGCGCACAAGUAGAGUGAUCGAAAGAUGAAAAGCACUUUGGAAAGAGAGUUAAAAAGCACGUGAAAUUGUUGAAAGGGAAGCGCUCACAACCAGACUUCGCGGCGGUGUUCAACCGGUCUUCUGACCGGUCUACUCUCCGCCGCGAGGCCAACAUCGUCUGGGCCCGCCGGAUAAGACGGGGGGAAUGUAGCUUGCCUUCGGGGAAGUGUUAUAGCCCUCUUUGAUGCGGCGCGGCUCGGGCGAGGUCCGCACUUCGGUAAGGAUGUUGGCGUAAUGGUUGUCAGCGGCCCGUCUUGAAACACGGACCAAGGAGUCUAACAUCUAUGCGAGUGUUCGGGUGUCAAACCCCUACGCGUAAUGAAAGUGAACGGAGGUGAGAACUUUACAGUGCAUCAUCGACCGAUCCUGAUGUCCUCGGAUGGAUUUGAGUAAGAGCAUAGCUGUUGGGACCCGAAAGAUGGUGAACUAUGCCUGAAUAGGGUGAAGCCAGAGGAAACUCUGGUGGAGGCUCGCAGCGGUUCUGACGUGCAAAUCGAUCGUCAAAUUUGGGUAUAGGGGCGAAAGACUAAUCGAACCAU